ensembl:lncRNA
CCCGACGGGUCGCGCGCACACCGCCGUUGCUCCCCUGAAGUGGCUCGGAGGAGGAGGAAUGCGGCUCUUCCUACGUGGUGCAAUGUAGGUAAAGCCGGGAUCUCCGUCCUCGCAGGUAAACCCGGAGUCCCCUUUGGCUCGAAAGUCCAGGGGUGUCAUCCCUAGCGAGUCUCUUAUCAGUCAUGAGAGACUUAGCCAUGGGAGAGUGGAGUUGGCGGAUAGUGUCCUUUGAUCCCUACUCCAGGGCAUCGCUCUUGGUUUCUUUAUUUCGUGUUCCGAUGCUUCAUAGAUCGGGUUUUUCGUCCGGGAUGGUGUUUUUCGGUAGCUGAUUUGCAUAAGCUCCGACUGCCAUCUUGGGAAGUCUCCAACCCUGGUCACCGUGUCAGGAAGUCUCCGACUCCCGUCGCCAUGUUGGGAAGUCUCCGACUCCUGAAGAGACCUUCCCUUUGCCCCCUGAAGUAAAUCCAAGCUAGCUCUGUCGAAUGGAGGGGUCAGGGAGACCCUUUGAGACCAAGAAAAGACCAAAAAGGUGCUGCUUCUCCCUCCGGGGGAUCGGAGGAUGUUUAUUCUGGCUAGCUUCCAGAAGAGAGAAGAGGCUGGGUGCCUCUUUCCCGGACUUUUUCAAACCUCGGGAGAGGGGCGGGGGAACAUAUAACACCAACCAAUGGGGUAACGUUUCAGGGACAGGGAGGGGAGGGGAAAGACAUGUCACAGAGAAACAAAGUAACUCCCAGAAAUAUGCACCACCACAGACUCCGGUCGUGCAUAGGACAGGGGUAACAAGGAACAGUUUGGCAUGGAACUCAGAACCAGAACGCUUCAGAACCUGGAACAGAGGCUGGAAAGAACACUUGCAAAACCUGGACUCCAGAGAAGUGGUGCCAUGGCGGCUGGGAUGGCAGGAGUGCUACGACCUUCCUGAAGAAGCGUCCUGAGAAGGGCAGCUCUCAGAGGCACAGGCACAUCCCUCUCCUGACCCAGCAAGCAAUUUCCAGCUCGGCAGUAGCUUCUCCCAGGCAAUGCAGGGAAGAAAGGACUGGAACUCUGGCUAGUGAUUCCACAGAGAAAUCAGCCUUUAUUGGAGCAGGGCCCUAUGUGAAGGGAGCCAGAUGCUCUCUGAACUGGGGAAAAACUGAAGUAGAUACAGGGAAGGUGAGGGGUGGGGAGAAACCAGUAACCAGUGGGAUGCAGGCAUGGGGGCAGAGAGUAAAGGGAAGAACCAAUGGUGAACCAGGGAUUAAUACAGGGUUGCAAAGAUCUCUUGGAGGAGAAAUUUUGCUUUCCGUAACAACAGGGACUGAAGAUCAUGGAUAUGUUCUCCAAGGGACGGCAGCAAGCUCCCUGUUGGCCGGUUCUUUGGCCUCCACAAAGUGGUUGCUCCAACAUGGCUUAAGUCCAGAGACAACCGAUCGCUGCUGGAGACGCUUUCAGGAACCUCUUUGCAGAAGUCCCUGUUUGGGUGCCACUUGUAGCGUCACGCAGGGGGUGGUAGGGUGAUGCUACUUUGUGAAAAUUGUCUCCAGCAAGGAGCCACUUGGCCAGGCAGCAGACACAAACACACACACUCCAACACACACAACUUGCAGCAGUAAAGAGCGAGAGGGACUUCGGUGUGGUUAUCCAGAGGGGAUUUAUUUGUUUAGCCUCUUGGGUCAGAGCCCUAGGAGAACUUGGCUCCUCUCCCCCUUCCAGUAAAUUGAAAAGGGGGGCUAGGUCUUCUGUGGUAAUACCUAGCCAGGGCCUGACCCAGUUCAAAGACCCACACAGCUGGUGGAGAUCUGCUAAGGUCUUUGGAUUGUCUCUAAUUUUUGAUUUCUGUGGAACAAGGGUCCAGUUUGUAAUUUAAAGUCCCAGAUACCUACAAGGCGGCACUCAUUGAACCUUCUCCUUCUGGAGCUUGAACCCUUCAGCAAUCAAAACAUUGAUCACUAGGUC